rnacentral:lncRNA from 1 species
UUAAAACAUCUACCAAAGAAUACAUAGGACUUAAAUAUUUUCUUCUUCUUUAUUUUUCAGAAGUGGCUAUUCCAAAGAGAAGAAAAAAAUUUAUUACAACUGUGAUAUGUUUAUAUCAUAGAUGUGGGAGUGCAUUAUAUAUGUCAGGAGUGUGACGCUUUUUUAAGACAUUUUCUGUCAAUUCAUAAUUUCACAAGGACAAGUUCCACAAGUUUCUUUGUGUUAGAAAUGUUAAAACCAAGUUAUAUUCCUAUCAUUUACCUCUUAAAUGUGUUAUUUAUCAUGAUUGUUUUGGCACAAUAAGUUUUAAUUAGUCAUUUUCUAUUUUUU